rnacentral:rRNA from 1 species
UACGUAGGUGGCGAGCGUUACUCGGAAUUACUAGGCGUAAAGCGCGUGUAGGCGGGAGGUUAAGUUCGCUGUUAAAUCUCAUAGCUCAACUAUGAAAUGCCGGCGAAUACUGGCCUUCUUGAAUUCGGUAGAGGAAACUGGAAUUCCAGGUGUAGCGGUGAAAUGCGUAGAGAUGUGGAGGAACACCGAUGGCGAAGGCAGCCC